AUGAUCAAAUUAGAAGAUACUGUCUCACCCCCUUCUAAUUGUACUGUGUGUCUCCUCCUUUUUCAGUUGCAUCUGUAUGAUAUUGAAAGCUGCUCUAAGACAAUGAUCCUCAACUUCUGCUCCUACGUACAGUGGGUUCCUGGAAGUGAUGUCCUGGUAGCUCAGAACAGAAACAACUUGUGUGUGUGGUACAAUAUUGAGGCACCUGAGAGGGUCACCAUGUUCUCCAUCAGGGGUGACGUCAUAGGUCUGGAGCGCAGCGGGGGAAAGACCCAGGUGAUGGUGACAGAAGGUGUGACCACCGUUGCCUGCACGCUGGAUGAGGGCCUCAUUGAGUUUGGAACAGCCAUCGAUGACGGCAACUACACCCGAAUGCUGUUGAGGAGGCUAUGAACAUGUACCAAGAGCUACACCGUUGGGACGAGUGUAUCGCUGUGGCUGAGGCCAAGGUACAGGAUGUGUCUUCUUCAGACUCUUGAGAAUCUGGUUCCACUGAUUUCGGAAAACUGCUUUUGUCAGGAAAGCUAUUGGAAGCAGGAUAAGUUUGGGGGUCUGAGAGGAUAAGGAGUUGGGAUACGGUGACCUGGGAGGAUUUGCACUGUUACAGAGGGACUGGAGAAGCACGGAAAGCAGGACAAGGAGGGCUCUGAUGCCGGGCUCCUCUGCAUGUGCAGGGACAUCCAGCCCUGGAGAAGCUGCGCCGGGAUUACUACCAGUGGCUGAUGGACACGCAGCAAGAGGAGCGAGCAGGUGAACUUCAGGAGAGCCAAGGGGAUGGGCUGGCAGCCAUCAGCCUGUACCUCAAAGCUGGGCUUCCCGCCAAAGCGGCUC
rnacentral:lncRNA from 1 species